rnacentral:lncRNA from 1 species
CACCAUGCCCCACGUGACCGGCAUGCGCGCCCAGGAAGACUACGGCUGCCCCUUGAUCCAGCAAUCCGACCUCGGGUCGGAUAUCUUCGGCUCCGCAGCCCGACCCCGAGUCGGCUGCCCAGCCCGACCCUGAGUCGGCUGCCCCUUGAUCCAGCAAUCCGACCUCGGGUCGGAUAUCUUCGGCUCCGCAGCCCGACCCCGAGUNNNNNNNNNNNNNAUCCAGCAAUCCGACCUCGGGUCGGAUAUCUUCGGCUCCGCAGCCCGACCCCGAGUCGGCCGCCCCUUGAUCCAGCAAUCCGACCCCGAGUCGGCAAUCUCUCGACAACAACAGACUGUUCCUCUGAGGCACGCCGCGGCCCCCUGCUCCACUACUCCCUGCAACGGCCGUAUCCGGCGCUGCCCCACGAUCCCCUGUAACAGCCGUACAAAGCGGAGCUCCACUAUGCCCUGCCAUGGCUGUACCCAGCGCUGCCCCACGACGCCCUGUAACGGCCAUGUCAGUGGCAGCCCCAUCGUGCCACACGAUGACGAAUCCCCGGAAAAACCCCCCAG